ensembl:lncRNA
AUUGAUUAUUUAGUUGUGUAUAAAAAGCGUUACUCCUGCUGAAAGAAGAGCAAAGUUUUAUGACAAAAAGAACAGUCCAAUGGCAGGAGGUUCCUACUUCGUUUGGAUUCUUCUCCUUCUAACCUGCGUCUUUUAUACUUUGGACAGCAGUCAUGUUCAUCAGGAUCUCAGGACUUUAGCCAGUCAGAGAGGAGAUUCAGAUGUGGCCCAUCUCCCUUCACAACGCCCAUCAAGUCAAGCUUGCACUGACCAGUUCACGUCGCUGAACAGGCAGCUUCAGCAGACAUCUCUCCAAAAAAGCCAGUUAGGUGAAGAAGCCUUUGUGUUGCGGGGGGAGGUCAGACAGCUGAAACUGCAACUUGCCACAUGCAGUGCGACUGCCUCAGCUAUUACCAACUCGUAUCAAACACAACUGCAGUCAAAAUUGAAACAGCAGCUUGAGAUAUUUGACAAUGAUGCAUUUCUAAUUCUGAAAGUCAUGGCGCUCACCAGUGAGGUUAAUGCUUUACAGAAGAAGGUCACACUUGCUGCAAAUUCUACUGAAAUCAGUGAGCUGCAGAGAGAGUUGGAAGAGAAGAGCGCUGAACUGAACGUUAAGAAACAGCAAAUAGAAGAAAACAUCACAAACUCAACUCUCAUUCUUCAGAUAAUCUCACUGCAAAAUCAGAUCUGGGAUUUACAAGAGACACAGUCAAGACGAGCAGAAACUGGCCUUCCGUCUGACAAGAGAAUUCUGGCUCUACAAGAGCAACUGGACAGGAAGAUCAGUGAGCUGCGAGGCUCAGCAGAUGUCAUCUCAGCCAUGCUGGAGCUGAUUUCUGUGCGCCAUAAGAUUAGAGUGUUACAGAGGAGGAUCAGUGUCCACAUUGAGGAAUCCAGAACGAAUGUUGCCGAUGUCCAGAGGCAAAUAAGGCAAAUGGCUUUGCUCCUUAAAAAGAAGAUUUUGCAGUUAAGUCGUGAUGAGAAUAACAAAGAACUUACCAGAGAAAUUCUGAUGCUGCAGGACGAGUUGGAACGUCUGGAACAGCUGAUGAUGAACGCCACAAAGAUAAGCAAUUCCCAACUUAGAGAGAUGAGAAUUAUUUUGGAGGAAGAAAAGAAACGACAAAUAAUUUUACAGAAACAACUGGAGGAAGAAGAUUAUGCCCAGGCACAGCUCUUCAUGAACAUCAUCAGUAUAAUGGAAGAUGUGAGAGAGCAGCAGCAGACAGCAUCAACUGGUCAAACCAAAUCUCUUUGGGGUCUGCUUCAAGCCAAAGAAAAGGACUAUGCCAAAGCUCAGACUGAAAUAACAGAUCUGCAGAAGAAACUGCAACUGAAAAGUGAGGAGUGUUCUGGAUCUAAGGACAAAUAUGAGCAGGUAAAAACUGAAUAUGAGCAGAAGAUUGCUGAAUUGAACAGAACUGGAGACUCCACAGCAGCACUCAUUCUGGAUGUGGUAAAGCUGCAUGAUGAGGUGAAGGUUUUGAGGGAAGAGAUCUCCAACUCAGAAGACAAAGACGUGAUCUCAGAGCUCCAAAGGCAACUGGAGAAGAAGCAAAAAGAUCUGGACUCCAAGACUGCAGACAUAGAGAGACUGACUGCCAAUCCAAGAAUGGUUUUAACAAUCAUUGAGCUGCAAGAUGAGAUCUGGGACCUUCAGAGGAAAGAUGUCAAUGGGACCACAAGUGGUGAUGUAAAAAAGUUGCAAGACAGACUUGCUGGGCUUCUGGGUGAAAUAGAUGAUGAAGAUGGCAGCAACACAAAACUGAUGCUGAGAAUCAUGACCCUGCAGAAUCAGGUGAAAUAUCUGGAGAGACUGUUGUCAAACCUCCAGAUGGCACAAAAUAAAGUAACCCGUAAGUAUCUCCAGCUAACCUUAGUCCUAAGAGUGUGCCAAGCAGAGGUAGUAGUGGAAUAGAGGCAACAGAUUUGGG